rnacentral:rRNA from 1 species
GACGAACGCUGGCGGCGUGCUUAACACAUGCAAGUCGAACGGAAAGGCCCUGCUUUUGUGGGGUGCUCGAGUGGCGAACGGGUGAGUAACACGUGAGUAACCUGCCCUUGACUUUGGGAUAACUUCAGGAAACUGGGGCUAAUACCGGAUAGGAGCUCCUGCUGCAUGGUGGGGGUUGGAAAGUUUCGGCGGUUGGGGAUGGACUCGCGGCUUAUCAGCUUGUUGGUGGGGUAGUGGCUUACCAAGGCUUUGACGGGUAGCCGGCCUGAGAGGGUGACCGGCAACAUUGGGACGAGAUUACGGCCCGAACUCUUACGGAGGCAGCAGUGGGGAAUAUUGCACAAUGGGCGGAAGCCUGAUGCAGCAACGCCGCGUGCGGGAUGACGGCCUUCGGGUUGUAAACCGCUUUCGCCUGUGACGAAGCGUGAGUGACGGUAAUGGGUAAAGAAGCACCGGCUAACUACGUG